rnacentral:rRNA from 1 species
AUUGAACGCUGGCGGAACGCUUUACACAUGCAAGUCGAACGGCAGCACGGGGGCAACCCUGGUGGCGAGUGGCGAACGGGUGAGUAAUACAUCGGAACGUGCCCGGUCGUGGGGGAUAACGUAGCGAAAGUUACGCUAAUACCGCAUACGAUCUGAGGAUGAAAGCGGGGGACCUUCGGGCCUCGCGCGAUCGGAGCGGCCGAUGUCAGAUUAGGUAGUUGGUGGGGUAAAGGCCUACCAAGCCGACGAUCUGUAGCUGGUCUGAGAGGACGACCAGCCACACUGGGACUGAGACACGGCCCAGACUCCUACGGGAGGCAGCAGUGGGGAAUUUUGGACAAUGGGCGCAAGCCUGAUCCAGCCAUUCCGCGUGCAGGACGAAGGCCUUCGGGUUGUAAACUGCUUUUGUAUGGAACGAAAAGGCUCUGGCUAAUACCUGGGGCUCAUGACGGUACCGUAAGAAUAAGCACCGGCUAACUACGUG